AGUUUUGCCAAGUAUGGCAAACUGAUUUCAUAUUAGAAUGGAAUUGAUAAGGCACUCUAACAAGACACUCCAUGGCUAUUUCAUCUGGUAGGCCUGGAAUCAACUGCAACUCUUCUUCUUUAUAUGAUGAUUCAGAGACCAUCAGGGAGUUCUUGACACUAGUGUUCUCUUCUUCUCCCAUCUUUUUCUCUUCCUAUGAAAAACCCACCAAAGAUGGAAUGAAAAGAUCUUAAAGAAUUGCAAGAGUAGGGAGAGAUUUGGAGACUUAUCAAGUUGGUGUUACUGAAAUUAUAAAGGGGAUGAAUUGCAGCGACAAGCAGAGCUCACGUUGAAAAUUUCUUGAAGACUGAGAAAU
rnacentral:misc_RNA from 1 species